rnacentral:rRNA from 1 species
GAUGAACGCUGGCGGCGUGCCUAAUACAUGCAAGUCGAGCGAACGGACGAGAAGCUUGCUUCUCUGAUGUUAGCGGCGGACGGGUGAGUAACACGCGGAUAACCUACCUAUAAGACUGGGAUAACUUCGGGAAACCGGAGCUAAUACCGGAUAAUAUUUUGAACCGCAUGGUUCAAAAGUGAAAGACGGUCUUGCUGUCACUUAUAGAUGGAUCCGCGCUGCAUUAGCUAGUUGGUAAGGUAACGGCUUACCAAGGCAACGAUGCAUAGCCGACCUGAGAGGGUGAUCGGCCACACUGGAACUGAGAAACGGUCCAGACUCCUACGGGAGGCAGCAGUAGGGAAUCUUCCGCAAUGGGCGAAAGCCUGACGGAGCAACGCCGCGUGAGUGAUGAAGGUCUUCGGAUCGUAAAACUCUGUUAUUAGGGAAGAACAUAUGUGUAAGUAACUGUGCACAUCUUGACGGUACCUAAUCAGAAAGCCACGGCUAACUACGUG